rnacentral:rRNA from 1 species
CCUACGGGUGGCAGCAGUGGGGAAUAUUGCGCAAUGGGCGAAAGCCUGACGCAGCGACGCCGCGUGAGGGAUGAAGGUCCUCGGAUCGUAAACCUCUGUUAGCAGGGAAGAACGGUCACUGUGCUAAUCAGCAGUGAAUUGACGGUACCUGCAAAGGAAGCACCGGCUAACUCCGUGCCAGCAGCCGCGGUAAUACGGAGGGUGCGAGCGUUAAUCGGAAUUACUGGGCGUAAAGCGCUCGUAGGCGGUAUGUCAAGUCAAGGGUGAAAUCCCCGCGCUCAACGUGGGAACUGCCUUUGAAACUGGCAGACUGGAGUGUGUGAGAGGAUAGUGGAAUUCCAGGUGUAGGGGUGAAAUCCGUAGAUAUCUGGAGGAACAUCAGUGGCGAAGGGGACUAUCUGGCACAUAACUGACGCUGAGGAGCGAAAGCGUGGGUAGCAAACAGGAUUAGAUACCCUUGUAGUC